rnacentral:rRNA from 1 species
CCUACGGGAGGCAGCAGUGAGGAAUAUUGGUCAAUGGGCGGAAGCCUGAACCAGCCAAGUAGCGUGCAGGAUGACGGCACUACGGGUUGUAAACUGCUUUUAUACGGGAAUAACGCGCCUUACGUGUAGGGCUUUGCAUGUACCGUAUGAAUAAGGACCGGCUAAUUCCGUGCCAGCAGCCGCGGUAAUACGGAAGGUACGGGCGUUAUCCGGAUUUAUUGGGUUUAAAGGGAGCGUAGGCCGCAUGUUAAGCGUGCUGUGAAAAGUCCGGGCUCAACCCGGGCCUUGCAGCGCGAACUGGCGAGCUUGAAUCCGCGGAAAGCAGGCGGAAUUCGUCGUGUAGCGGUGAAAUGCUUAGAUAUGACGAAGAACCCCGAUUGCGAAGGCAGCUUGCUGCAGCGGAACUGACGCUGAUGCUCGAAAGCGCGGGUAUCGAACAGGAUUAGAUACCCCUGUAGUC